CUCGCUUGAGUUUCUGAAGAAUGUUCCAUAUCGCGCUAAGCUAAUCACUACUGAUUAUGACAGGCGUGCAACGGCACACAUCCACAGAGCACUCUUCAAAUCAUCUACACAGUGGUUAUCCAACUAGGAUUAUAAAGCUGUCAUGCAACGCAACAACUGUGCUAUCUGCCAUCGCACAUCAACGAAGAAGUGCAGCCGCCCACAUUCCACCUCACGUCUGUCCGACCAGCUGCAAUCCUCGAGGACGCCCCACUGUACCACGAUUUCACUACGAUGUUUGACAAGAAGGAGCAGUGCGCGAGAUAGGCUAAUGAGCAGACUUCCCUCGCUUGAGUUUCGGAAGAAUGUUCGAUAUCGCGCUAAGCUGACCACUGCUGACCAUGACAGGCGUGCAUUGGACUGGUACAGGUUGGAAUUGAACAUUGAAUAUGCUGGUGGUGACGCUUUCUGAUGAGAAGUUGGUCGUGACUGAUGCAGUAUCCUUGGACUUGUCCACAGCAU